AUUAAUUUCUCUUCCAUCCUCCAUCACACAUCAAUUGAUAAAAUUGAAAUACCAAGAAAACUUCCAGCGAAAAACCUCAAAAAAUUAUGUACCAGGUUGAAUUCUGAAUUUCUCAUCUCCCCAAAAAAUCUCCCAAUCGAUUCUUUACUGAUCUAAACACUUCAGAGGUAUCCAAAACUGCAUAAAUAUUAAAAAAUUUCUACACAUGAAACAAAGAAUCGGGAAUCUAAACUCUUGCAUUGUAGUUUAACAAAAGAAGAGAAGAAUAACCUAUUAAUCCAUCUCCUUCCUAUCCAAGAAAAGGAAACACAGGAGUAUUUAUCAGUUGAACGCACAGUGAGUAGGAGGCCAUUCCGUGCUCUUCUGGAUAUUGGUAUUCUUAUUGGUGGAUGCUUCGAAGAAAUAGAGUUAAUUGGAGAUAUUCACCGCAAAACAAAUUUGGUGGGCAUGUUACUGCAUACAUGAGGAGUAUAAGGUGAGAGCGAAGCGGACUUCGCAAAUAUGAAUUCAAGGCAUCUGAGGCUAUGUUGCAGUCCUAAUUAAUGAUGGGAUGCGUAUAAUUGGUGGGGAGAUUUUAUGCUUCAUUCACAACAACUUCCUAUACUAUCCCAAAUCACGACGUACUCAAAAGGUUCAGCAAAUAAACCAUUAACUCGGGAUGUUAUGUUGGAAGCAAUAGAUAAAAGGGGAGGGACGUUAUAGGAGCUAAGCCUGCAACGUAUUGGGUGACCUUGAUUUUGGUGUAGCUGGAUUUUCUCUAUCUUUCGGACUUGGUAGCUAGCCGUCUUCGUUGAUGUGCUUCUUGGACAUGGACCAUGAGGUUUUAUCUAAUGAACACAAGUCUCACUCCUUAAUCUUUUGAAUGAGUUCCUUAAAAGAUUAAUCAGGUAAACAAUAUUACAUUAUUAUUAUUUUUUUCUGGGAACAUUAUGUGAAGUGAUACUUCAAUGUCGAAAUUUCAGUAUAUUCGCCUGGGAUCUCCUAUGAAAAAUUUGAAUUUAAUAUAGAAGUGUACACAGUAAUGUGGGAAGUUAUAGGUUAUAACUCCAUGCCCAUGUUAAGUGACGUCUUAGUUUUUGCUUAAAAGAGCUCAUAGGUUGAGAAGAAUGAAGCAAAGUGAUUCAAUGUACUCAAACCAAUGUCUUAGCUACUUCUUUCACCAUAUCGACAUAUUUUAUGGUUUUAGUACUCGCAGGUGUUAGCGCGGGACGAGCCUGAAAGAAAUUUUUUUUUGCGGCUGAUGGUCUUAGAAGAGUUGUACAAGAGGGUCCCUGUUGGCUCGCAUCGUAUUUCAUGUUUUGAUGUAUGCCUGAGUGGUACCUUUUUGCUUCAUUCUUGAACAAUAAUAUUUUUACAUGAUUAUACUAACGAUUUUGAUUUUUCUAAUUUCUUUUGUGUAUGUGAGAGCAUAAGGUGAGAGCAAAGCGGUCUUUGCAACAUCAAUGAAAGGCUUCAUCUGAAUCAGGUGGCUUCAGCAUAUAUGAAACCUGUCGGAAGAGGAAGACUUGAUAGCAUUAACAAAGCUGCACCUGAGGUUUGCAGCCAGAGUUUGUAUCUUGACAGUGCCAAUGCAACACCAAUAUUGCGUGGAAGACGUAAUCAGGCGUUUGAGAGAUAUUUGAUAGGGCAGCAAACCAGUUGGAGGAAUAACCAUAGUUCUGGGAGGCGACAUCUGACAAACUUUUCCAGUGGUAGAAAAAGGCGGACGUGACAGAUUUUCGGGGCAUCUCUGAGGAGCAAUUCUUUGGAAUAACGACGGUGUACUGAGACUGACACAGAACAUAAACCAAAACUUUGAAAAGUAUACGGUUUGUAAAAUUCCUACUAGAGGACUCGAGGUUGCAGCGUUAUAAUAAAAGAGCAUAAAAAUAAUUAUGUUGCAUAGGAAGGAAUAUUUCAAACCUGUAUAAUUUAGAUGGAUUUGACUACUGUUAACUAAAUUUUAUACUCCCAACAGUUCUGACCUACAGAUUAUUUGCAAGAGGAGGUUCCAGGUCCGGGAAAGAGGAAAUGCAGGGGGAUGGGUACAAGCGUCGGAAGGCUUUGCAGAGACCUAAGAAAGCUAUAUAUAUAUACAUAUAUAUAAUGUGAUAUUUGGUUGAUUGGUAUAGUUUACAAUUUUACAUUCUUUAGUAUAUACCGUGAAGAUUGAGAUGAUAUUUACAAAGAGAUUAAUAUUAGAGAUUGGAAAAUUAGUAUA